AGAAAUUCCAAUCGAACCUGGAGAUAGCUGGUUCUCUCCGAAAUAGCUUUAGGGCUAGCCUCAAGUGAUGAUUAUUGGAGGUAGAGCACUGUUUGGACGAGGGGCCCCUCUCGGGUUACCGAAUUCAGACAAACUCCGAAUGCCAAUUAAUUUAACUUGGGAGUCAGAACAUGGGUGAUAAGGUCCGUGUUCGAAAGGGAAACAGCCCAGACCACCAGCUAAGGUCCCAAAAUAUAUGUUAAGUGGAAAAGGAUGUGGCGUUGCCCAGACAACUAGGAUGUUGGCUUAGAAGCAGCCAUCAUUUAAAGAGUGCGUAAUAGCUCACUAGUCGAGUGACACUGCGCCGAAAAUGUACCGGGGCUAAACAUAUUACCGAAGCUGUGGAUUGUCCUUUGGACAAUGGUAGGAGAGCGUUCUAAGGGCGUUGAAGCAUGAUCGUAAGGACAUGUGGAGCGCUUAGAAGUGAGAAUGCCGGUGUGAGUAGCGAA
rnacentral:rRNA from 1 species